CACUGAGGAGGUGUGUCCUAGUAGGAAGACCACUGUUAACACUGAGGAGGUGUGUCCUAGUAGGAAGACCACUGUUAACACUGAGGUGGUGUGUCCUAGUAGGAAGACCACUGUUAACACUGAGGAGGUGUGUCCCAGUAGGAAGACCACUGUUAACACUGAGGAGGUGUGUCCUAGUAGGAAGACCACUGAGGUGGUGUGUCCUAGUAGGAAGACCACUGAGGAGGUGUGUCCUAGUAGGAAGACCACUGUUAAAACUGAGGAGGUGUGUCCUAGUAGGAAGACCACUGAGGUGGUGUGUCC
ensembl:lncRNA